GGCAGAGGCCCCGAGCGUUAGGCGGAAUCACUGGGCUUAAAGCGUGUGUAGGCGGGCCCGUAAGUGUCUUGUGAAAUCCCACGGCUCAACCGUGGAACUGCUGGGCAUACUGCGGGUCUUGGGCCAACUAGGGGCAGCCGGAACAAGCGGUGGAGCGGUGAAAUGCGUAGAUAUCAUUUGGAACGCCAACGGUGAAAACAGGUAGCUGGGAGUGUGCUGACGCUGAGACACGAAAGCCAGGGGAGCAAACGGG
rnacentral:rRNA from 1 species